rnacentral:rRNA from 1 species
AUUGAACGCUGGCGGCAGGCCUAACACAUGCAAGUAGAACGAGUGGCGGACGGGUGCGUAAUGUCUGGGAAACUGCCUGAUGGAGGGGGAUAAAUACUGGAAACGGUAGCUAAUACCGCAUACCAUCAGAUGUGCCCAGAUGGGAUUCGCUUGUUGGUGGGGUAACGGCUCACCAAGUCGACGAUCCCUAGCUGGUCUGGUAGGCUGACGUGCCACACUGGUACCUAGGCCCGGUCCCGUCUCAUACGGGAGACAACAGUGGGGACUAUUUGAAGAUGGGCGCAAGCCUGAUGCGGCCAUGCCGCGUGUAUGAAGAGGCUCAUCGGGUUGUAAAGUACUUUCAGCGGUGAGGCGUUACCCGCAGAAGAAGGACCAGCUAACUCCGUGCCAGCAGCCGCGGUAAUUC